rnacentral:rRNA from 1 species
GACGAACGCUGGCGGCGUGCUUAACACAUGCAAGUCGAACGGAAAGGCCCUGCUUUUGUGGGGUGCUCGAGUGGCGAACGGGUGAGUAACACGUGAGUAACCUGCCCUUGACUUUGGGAUAACUUCAGGAAACUGGGGCUAAUACCGGAUAGGAGCUCCUGCUGCAUGGUGGGGGUUGGAAAGUUUCGGCGGUUGGGGAUGGACUCGCGGCUUAUCAGCUUGUUGGUGGGGUAGUGGCUUACCAAGGCUUUGACGGGUAGCCGGCCUGAGAGGGUGACCGGACACAUUGGGACUGAGCUGCGGCCCAGACUCCUCCGGGAGGCAGGAGUGGGGAAUAUUGCACAGUGGGCGGAAGCCUGAUGCAGCAACGCCGCGUGCGGGAUGACGGCCUUCGGGUUGUAAACCGCUUUCGCCUGUGACGAAGCGUGAGUGACGGUAAUGGGUAAAGAAGCACCGGCUAACUACGUG